CCUACGGGAGGCUGCAGUGGGGAAUAUUGGACAAUGGGCGAAAGCCUGAUCCAGCCAUGCCGCGUGUGUGAAGAAGGCCUUCGGGUUGUAAAGCACUUUCAGUGGGGAAGAAAGCCUUGGGGCUAAUACCCUCGAGGGAGGACAUCACCCACAGAAGAAGCACCGGCUAACUCCGUGCCAGCAGCCGCGGUAAUACGGAGGGUGCGAGCGUUAAUCGGAAUUACUGGGCGUAAAGCGCGCGUAGGCGGUCUGGUAAGCCGGUUGUGAAAGCCCCGGGCUCAACCUGGGAACGGCAUCCGGAACUGUCAGGCUAGAGUGCAGGAGAGGAAGGUAGAAUUCCCGGUGUAGCGGUGAAAUGCGUAGAGAUCGGGAGGAAUACCAGUGGCGAAGGCGGCCUUCUGGACUGACACUGACGCUGAGGUGCGAAAGCGUGGGUAGCAAACAGGAUUAGAUACCCCUGUAGUC
rnacentral:rRNA from 1 species